UACAGAGGUCUCAAGCGUUUGUUCGGAUUCAUUGGGCGUAAAGGGUGCGUAGGCGGCGCGGUAAGUCGGGUGUGAAAUCUCGGAGCUUAACUCCGAAACUGCAUUCGAUACUCCCGUGCUUGAGGACUGGAGAGGAGACUGGAAUUUACGGUGUAGCGGUGAAAUGCGUAGAUAUCGUAAGGAAGACCAGUGGCGAAGGCGGGUCUCUGG
rnacentral:rRNA from 1 species